rnacentral:rRNA from 1 species
UACGUAGGGGGCAAGCGUUGUCCGGAUUUAUUGGGCGUAAAGAGCGUGUAGGCGGUUUGGUAGGUCCGUUGUGAAAACUCGAGGCUCAACCUCGAGACGCCGGCGGAAACCAUCAGGCUAGAGUCCGGAAGAGGAGAGUGGAAUUCCUGGUGUAGCGGUGAAAUGCGCAGAUAUCAGGAGGAAUACCUAUGGCGAAGGCAGGUUACUGGGCCAUCACUGACGCUGAGCUGCGAAAGCUAGGGGAGCAAACAGG